rnacentral:rRNA from 1 species
AGCCAGACUCCUACGGGAGGCAGCAGUGGGGAAUAUUGGGCAAUGGGCGCAAGCCUGACCCAGCAACGCCGCGUGAAGGAAGAAGGCUUUCGGGUUGUAAACUUCUUUUGUCAGGGACGAAGCAAGUGACGGUACCUGACGAAUAAGCCACGGCUAACUACGUGCCAGCAGCCGCGGUAAUACGUAGGGAGCGAGCGUUGUCCGGAAUUACUGGGUGUAAAGGGAGCGUAGGCGGGGAUGCAAGUUGGGUGUCAAAACCACCGGGUCAACUGGUAGUCGCACUCCAAACUGGAGGUCUUGAGGGAAGGAGAGGCAGGCGGAAUUCCUAGUGUAGCGGUGAAAUGCGUAGAUAUUAGGAGGAACACCA